CUGGCGGCAGGCCUAACCAUGCAAGUCGAGCGGUAACAGGGGUAGCUUGCUACCCGCUGACGAGCGGCGGACGGGUGAGUAAUGCAUAGGAAUCUGCCCGAUAGUGGGGGAUAACCUGGGGAAACCCAGGCUAAUACCGCAUACGUCCUACGGGAGAAAGGGGGCUUCGGCUCCCGCUAUUGGAUGAGCCUAUGUCGGAUUAGCUAGUUGGUAAGGUAAUGGCUUACCAAGGCAACGAUCCGUAGCUGGUCUGAGAGGAUGAUCAGCCACAUCGGGACUGAGACACGGCCCGAACUCCUACGGGAGGCAGCAGUGGGGAAUAUUGGACAAUGGGGGCAACCCUGAUCCAGCCAUGCCGCGUGUGUGAAGAAGGCCCUCGGGUUGUAAAGCACUUUCAGCGAGGAAGAACGCCUAUCGGUUAAUACCCGGUAGGAAAGACAUCACUCGCAGAAGAAGCACCGGCUAACUCCGUGCCAGCAGCCGCGGUAAUACGGAGGGUGCAAGCGUUCAAUCGAAUUACUGGGCGUAAAGCGCGCGUAAGUGGCUUGAUAGGCCGGUUGUG
rnacentral:rRNA from 1 species